CAACCACCACCACCACCACCACCACCACCACCACCAGCAUGGCAGUAGUAGCAGGAGUAGUGAAUGGUCACACGUAUGUGGUGACUUCUUGGACUAUCAGGCUGCCCUUGUAGUGUGUUGGACUAUCGGUGAACAAGGAGACCUGAAAGUUACGUGGUACAACUAUUUCGGUGAUAGAAGUGGCUGAGUUGCCGAUCCAAAGGCCUGGCUUAAGAGUGAUCCCGAGCUAUCUGUACCAUCAAGAUCAAGAUCGAGCGUCCAUAUCAGAUGGCGAGUCUGCUUACAAAAUUGCAUCGGAGGGACUGAUAGAGGCAUCCACAAUUAUCCAUCAUCAUCGGCGACACCAUGGCUCUUGAGAAGACAGACAGACCUCGAUGACAGCGUGGUGAGCGAGGAGGGGGAGUCAACCAGCAGAGUAGGGGAGCAUGACCCCUACUUUGAACCAGUGGUGACCUUGCUGGAGGUCUUCGUGGUUAGUGAUGAUGACCAGGAGGAGGAAAUGAUAACACUGAGUUUCGAGGUCAGGUCAGGCAGUACAAGCUGUUUCAUUAUCACACCUCUGAGUCGCCCCCACAGUGGAAGGAACGGGGCAUGGGGGCCAUUAACAUUCUGAGGAACAAGCAGAAGAAGGCUGUGGAGUUUGUUCAGCGGCAGAAUUAAUGCCAGUGGCUGAGUUCAGAUCCUCCAAGACACACACACACACACACAGCAGCCCCUCCACCUCCCCACAGCCCUCCACAGUCUCUGACACAGCCCCUGACACAGCAUCUGACACAGCCCCUUCACAGACCACAUAUAUCUCACACAUACAUAAGAACAUAAGAAAUAAGGGAAGCUGCAAGAAGCGACCAGGCUUACACGUGGCAGUCCCUGUAUGAAAUAUACCUACUUAUUUCCAUCUGUUAUCCCCAUCCAUAAACUUGUCUAAUCUUCUCUUAAAGCUCUCUAGUGUCCUAGCACUAACUACAUGAUUACUGAGUCCAUUCCAAUCAUCUAUCACUCUGAGAACCAAUUUUUUUCUUAUCUCCUUCCUAAACCUAAAUUUUUUAAGCUUGUACCCAUUAUUUCUUUUUCUACCCUGGUUGCUGAUCCUAAGAAUUUUGCCUACAUCCCCCUUAUGUCACUCAAAGACUUCUAUCAGGUCCCCCUCUUAACCUACGUAUCUCUAAAGAAUGUAAAUUUAACAGCUUCAACCUCGCCUCGUAAGGAAUACUCCUCAUCCCCUGUAUCCUUUUAGUCAUUCUCCUCUGUACUGAUUCUAAUAGACCUAUAUCUUUCCUGUAAUGUGGGGACCAGAACUGCACAGCGUAGUCUAGAUGAGGUCUGACCAGCACCAAGUAUAACUUUAAUAUUACUUUGGGCCUUCUACUUUUAACACUCCUAAAAAUCACACACACCACAAGAGCCUCACAAACAGUCUCACAGCCUUCACAAGCAGCCCCACACUCCACCACAGACACACCAGACCCACAGCCCUUCACCUCACCCACUUCCCAGCCCCCCACAGCCCCCCCAGCCACCACAAAUGAAGUCAAAGGAAGGGACUGUGGCUUCACCCAGCCAGCCAGGACAGCCUACAGAGAGGGGGUAGUCCCAGUCAAGUCACAAAAUAUAGGCUUGGUUCUUCCUACAGUUUGAAGUCAAUGAUUGGACAGGCCAGACAGCUUAGUGGCAGAGCUGCAGGUGGCCCUCGUCAGCUUCCUGGUGGCACAGGUGUAGGAUGGCUGGGAGCAGUGGAGGUGCCUGAUGGGGCAGCUGUGCCGGGCAGAGGGGCUGCUACUGCUGCUGCGGAGAGCCACACUUGUAUGGUGGUAACACGGAGAGGAAGUGGAAGAAACCUUGGGACGCUCCCAUAACUCAGGAGCAAGAAUUACACCUUACUGGAACCUUGUGACUGACAGGUGGUGGUGACUGCAGGAACCAAUUCAGCCUUCCGCCACAAGACCACCGCACCUCGACGUCUCUCGCUGCGAGUCGUGGAAGGGGCCGAGCGGGGACGCCAGGCUGGAGGAAAACGAGACAAUGAUCCCUAUUCUGAAACACUUCUGCGCCGCACCUCCACUAAACUGAUAAGACUCUAAAUGAAGUUGCACAGGUUUUCAAAAGAUGUUUUUAUGGUUCUAGUGACAGAUUAACACGAUUUCUAUAUUAUUAACAGGGGAAAUGCAUUUAAAACCCGGCUAUUCAGAACCUGUCAUCAUUUGAAAAGAAAAAAAAAAUGUGGUGAGACAAAUGAAGCGUUUCAGAAUACGUAGGUGUUGUUUUGCUUGUUGUCCACUGUAUAAAAGAUGCAACGCGAGUUUCUGCAAAUACUGAAAGAGGUGAAGGAACGUGCAAUUCUAAGUAGGAAAUGUUCUAUACACAUAUGCAUUUUAAGGCUUUGUUUACCCGUCAGAGGAGUUGAAAAUGUAUGGGACUCGUUGGUGUGCUGCUAUGCGUGUAGCUGACGUGAAGAACAGACGGCUGCAUUGUCGCAGCCUCGGAGGUGCCACUUAAUCUUAUUUUUUGCAGGCUGUGGAAUAUUGCAGUAUCUUAUAACAAGACAAAUGGUAUUAAAAAGCAUGUGAUUUACCAAUAAGCAUUACACGACAACAUUAUUGCGGUGAUUAUAAGUACUCCUUUAAAAUGCUAAGUGGCAUCAUCACUCAGCUGUUUUCAAGGUCGCUCGGACUCGGUGCCCUCCUCCGCUCCUCCUUCGCUUCGAUGAUGCCACGUAGUAUUUUACAGGAGAGAGAGAGAGAGAGAGAGAGAGAGAGAGAGAGAGAGAGAGAGAGAGAGAGAGAGAGAGAGAGAGAGAAGCUAAGCAUUAAGAAGCUGAUUCAUUAUCAUUUCCUACGAGGCUGUUUCUUACUACGCUCCUUCCCCGACGUGCGCGCGCGUGUGUGUGUGUGUGCUUAUUUGUAUAGCAGUAUGUUGUUCUAUGUAAGCUCGUUUUAAGCGGGCGUACGUUUGGUUUAAUUAAAUGCCAAUAAACACCAAUAUCACUGUAAUAAAAAAAAAAAAGAACGCAGAUAUCAAACACUACUGAGAGAGAGAGAGAGAGAGAGAGAGAGAGAGAGAGAGAGAGAGAGAGAGAGAGAGAGAGAGAGAGAGAGAG